rnacentral:lncRNA from 1 species
UCUGAGAGAAUCUGGCCCUGGAGCACCGUGGCAGAUUCAGCAGAGCACAGAGGAGGCCAGGCUCCUCCUCAACUAGGUGAAACCAGCUUCCCCGCCAACACGGCACCAGCCCUGGGGAGGGAACAGUGCCCGGAGGAGUUGCAGGGAUGUUAGUGGACAUCUGCCAUGUGCCCUGUGUGCCACUGGGAGGCAUGGGUGGAGAUCAGGUUCCAGGCACACCUCUGGGACAUACCACAGGGCCAAGCUUUUGCAGGUCAGGGGCAGAGAAGUGAGACUGAUUUCUGCCAGGACACCUGCGAACAGAUACCAGCUGCCUGGAGUCUGUCAGUUGCUGAGGAGGCAUAGGAAGAAACUAGUUCACCCAUGUCUCUCUUACACACAGGUUAAAAUCAACCUGUCAAAUCUCAUGAAAAACCUGGUGAAGUUUUGUUGGAAUUGUAUUAUACUGGAUGAUCAAUUUGGAGAGAUUUGACAGCUCCAGAAUAUGAAGAAUUUCUGGCUACAAAUAUGAUCCUGAAUUCCAGUGGAAUGGCUGAUACCAAGCAGCAUGAAGACCCCCCCAGAGGAGCACUAUCAGCAUGAAGACCCCUGCAGAGGAGCCUAAUCAGGAUGAGAAUGAGGCUUUGUAUGUGUACCAUCAAUCAAUAAUUGGAGGCUGACUGCCCUGGAAAAGCUGGGACUUGCACUGAAAAUUGGGGCCUGAUUCAUAUGCAGGAGAUGGGAUACAGAAGCUGAAGUUCAUGCGUAGGAGCCUAUAUAUCCUUCUCAGAAAGAAGGUGGGACAUCACAGAACUUUUUCACGAAAGUUGUUCUUUGCCUAUUCUAACUACUGAACAGAACCAUCAGUGAAGACUCCAUAGAACAUGAAUAUAAUGAUUAUGGCAUAGGAAAUUUUAAGUAGUUAUUUUCAUGUGCCGGACACCACAGGAAGAUCUCAAUGAUGCUUCUACUGACAGUCUAAUUUUGAAGGACACCAUGUCACUUCCUGCUGGAAUGAACUCAUGGCUGACCAUGAGCAUCUCUAGAUAGGCUCCUGCAAGGCCACAGAGUGUAUGUCCUCCCAGCUGGACGAAGCAAGCCUGCCCCUGACACCUGCAGGGCUCCAAGCAAGAACAUAAAUGGAGACCCUCAUACCACAGACCAGAAUUUAGAGAUUAUACAUCAAAAUCUCAAACUGCUAAAUAUACUACAUUCUAACCUCUUACUACUUCAGAAAUGUCUUCAUAACAACAAAUCAGGAAAAUAUUAACAAGGCUUUGGGUGUGUGGGUGCGUGUGUGUGUGUGUGUUGUUGUUGUUGUUGUUGUUUGCUUUUUUGAGACAGGGUUUCACUCUGUU